rnacentral:sRNA from 1 species
AGCAGCCGCGGUAAUUCCAGCUCCAAUAGCGUAUAUUAAAGUUGUUGCAGUUAAAAAGCUCGUAGUUGAAUUUCGGGAUCAAUUUGCUGGUCGUGCCUCUGGUACGUACUGGUAUUAUUGGUUUCUCCCUUCUGACGAACCAUGAUGUCAUUAAUUUGAUGUCGUGGAGAAUCAGGACUGUUACUUUGAAAAAUUAGAGUGUUUAAAGCAGGCAUUAGCUUGAAUACAUUAGCAUGGAAUAAUGAAAUAGGACGUUUGAUCCUAUUUUGUUGGUUUCUAGGAUUGACGUAAUGAUUAAUAGGGAUAGUUGGGGGCAUUAGUAUUCAAUUGUCAGAGGUGAAAUUCUUGGAUUUAUUGAAGACUAACUACUGCGAAAGCAUUUGCCAAGGAUGUUUUCAUUAAUCAAGAACGAAAGUUAGGGGAUCGAAGACGAUCAGAUACCGUCGUAGUCUUAACCAUAAACUAUGCCGACUAGGGAUCGGAUGAUGUUAAUUUUUAAUGA